GCUCAUCUAUUUUUUGAAAAAAAUUAUGAGCUAUUGUCAUCACCUUGGCGUCGGCGUCGGCGUUGGCGUUGGCGUCCGGUUAAGUUUUGCGUUUAGGUCCACUUUUCUCAGAAAGUAUCAAUGCUAUUGCAUUCAAACUUGGUACACUUACUUACUAUCAUGAGGGGACUGGGCAGGCAAAGUUAGAUAACUCUGGCGUGCAUUUUGACAGAAUUAUGUGCCCUUUUUAUACUUAGAAAAUUGAAAAUUUUGGUUAAGUUUUGCGUUUAGGUCCACUUUUCUCAGUAAGUAUCAAUGCUAUUGCAUUCAAACUUGGUACACUUACUUACUAUCAUGAGGGGACUGGGCAGGCAAAGUUAGAUAACUCUGGCGUGCAUUUUGACAGAAUUAUGUGCCCUUUUUAUACUUAGAAAAUUGAAAAUUUUGGUUAAGUUUUGUGUUUAGGUCCAUUUUAUUCCUUAAGCAUCAAAGCUAUUGCUUUCAUACUUGCAACACUUACUAACUAUCAUAAGGGGACUGUGCAGGCAAAGUAAUGUAACUCUGACUGGCAUUUUGACAGAAUUAUGUGCCCUUUUUAUACUUAGAAAAUUGAAAAUUUGAUUAAGUUUUGUGUUUAGGUCCACUUUAUUCCUACAGUAUCAAAGCUAUUGCUUUCAUACUUGCAAGAUUUAUGAACUAUCAUAAGGGGACGGUGCAGGCAAAGUUAUGUAACUCUGACUGGCAUUUGGACGGAAUUAUGGGCCCUUUAUACUUAGAAAAUUGAAAAUUUGGUUAAGAUUUAUGUUUUGGUCACUUUACCCCUAAAGUAUCAUAGAUAUUGCUUUCAUACUUGGAACACUCACAAACUAUCAUAAGGGUACAGUAAAAGGACAAGUUGCAUAACUCUGGUUGUCAUUGUUA